UACGAAGGGGGCUAGCGUUGCCCGGAAUCACUGGGCGUAAAGCGCACGUAGGCGGGUCUUUAAGUCGGGGGUGAAAUCCUGGAGCUCAACUCCAGAACUGCCUUCGAUACUGGCGAUCUCGAGUCCGGAAGAGGUGAGUGGAACUCCUAGUGUAGAGGUGGAAUUCGUAGAUAUUAGGAAGAACACCAGUGGCGAAGGCGGCUCACUGGUCCGGUACUGACGCUGAGGUGCGAAAGCGUGGGGAGCAAACAGG
rnacentral:rRNA from 1 species